GAAGGUACAGUACAGGCUUAAACCUUUAAUAAACCGUUAAUAAAGAAUGAUAAAAAAUAUACUAUAAUUAAUUUUGUGUACACAUAUUAGCAACAUAAAGCAAGUAAACUGAAAUGACAAAUGAGCCUGUUCUACUUUUAAAAUGUUAAGUAGCAUCCAGCAAUCUGUGUCAUGUUUACUAUACAUGUAUCAGAGAAAUCUAUAACAAGAGAACUUCUUAUCUUUCAGCUCAUUGGCUGGGUUAUUGACCAGAAUGUCGCCGAGAAGUUGGGGCAAGCCAUGAGAGAUGUGGGGGUUGGGACGUUUUACUUAAGACAGGAGGGAAAUACGCAGGGCACCAACACCUUCAAGUGUAUGUCUUUGUCAGAUAACACUACCUGGGAGGCCAGGUAAUCGUGUACAGAUCCGAGUGGCUGAUGUUCAAGAGAUUUGGCAGAUUUUGUGCUGAAGAUGGAAGUAAGACUGAGUGGACCGAUGUACGAGGACUUUCACAGAUGCGCAGGAUCUUUGCCAACAAGUGCACUUCAGCAAGGGACUAGGUAGGUAGUAGGUAGGCACUUCAGCCUGCCGGGGCACGGAAAGAAAACUGCAUGUCUAAAGAACAGCUAAGUUCUUUGACUUGAUUCACUAUUAAUCGUCUUAAUAUUGGUAUUUAAACUUGAU